GUGGGNAUCCGCACGAGCGCACCCUUGUCCUUAGUUACCAGCAUUAAGUUGGGUACUUUAAGGAGACUGCCGGUGACAAACCGGAGGAAGGUGGGGACGACGUCAAGUCAUCAUGGCCCUUACGUGUAGGGCUACACACGUGCUACAAUGGCAUAUACAGAGGGAAGCGAGACAGCAAUGUGGAGCGGACCCCUUAAAGUAUGUCGUAGUCCGGAUCGGAGUCUGCAACUCGACUCCGUGAAGUCGGAAUCGCUAGUAAUCGCAGGUCAGAGUACUGCGGUGAAUACGUUCCCGGGCCUUGUACACACCGCCCGUCACACCAUGGGAGUGGGAUGCAAAAGAAGUGGCUAGUUUAACCUUCGGGAGAACGGUCACCACUUUGUGUUUCAUGACUGGGGUGAAGUCGUAACAAGGUAACCCUAGGGGAACCUGGGGUUGGAUCACCUCCUU
rnacentral:rRNA from 1 species